UCCUGCACUUUGAUUGAUGUUCCUCAUAAGCAUUACUGGUAAUCCUAUUUUCAGCCUCAGUUCAUGAUCUGGUAUUCCAGAAAAUGUUAGACUAUUUAGAAAUUCAGUUGGGUACAACAUAUCUUUGUCUUCCACCGUAGACAUUGCCUUGCAUGUUGUAUCUGAACUGAGAUAGGUUACCUCUUCUCCAGGAAUUUGACUCAUGAUGUAGGUGUUAAUCUGGUCAACAGUCUCGUUCCUUGGGCACAGGAUCGCUCUUUCCUCUAGAAUCGAACUAUCUGGUAGUGGCAUUCCUGGAAAAUAUUUGAGGGACUUACCACCUUUAGCCAAUAGGUGUUCGAUCUCUGCCAAGAGGAGGCUCUUUAUUUGCAAUGAGAUCAGUCACCUCGCAAAAUAAAAGUAUUGUGCAGAAAAGUUGGCGCAUUUGAGGAGCAGAGGCCCAAUGGGAUGCUUCCUUGAUGCAGUCAUCCCACUCCUUGUCGUCAUUAAGUAGCCCAAGAGCAUAACAUGCAGAUUUGUAUGUUGGAUGUACAACCCCAUCAACUGUUCGGAUUUCUUCAUAGGAUCUGCAUCCUUUCACGGUAUUUAGAAGCAUUCUCAAGUAGUAUUUUUCACCGCUUGUUGGUUGUGCAUAGUAAAUCCUGCUUAUGGUUUUUU